rnacentral:rRNA from 1 species
CCUACGGGAGGCAGCAGUGGGGAAUAUUGGACAAUGGGGGGAACCCUGAUCCAGCGACGCCGCGUGAGUGAAGAAGUAUUUCGGUAUGUAAAGCUCUAUCAGCAGGGAAGAAAAUGACGGUACCUGACUAAGAAGCCCCGGCUAACUACGUGCCAGCAGCCGCGGUAAUACGUAGGGGGCAAGCGUUAUCCGGAUUUACUGGGUGUAAAGGGAGCGUAGACGGCAGCACAAGUCUGGAGUGAAAUGCCGGGGCUUAACCCCGGAACUGCUUUGGAAACUGUGCAGCUAGAGUGCAGGAGAGGUAAGUGGAAGUCCUAGUGUAGCGGUGAAAUGCGUAGAUAUUAGGAGGAACACCAGUGGCGAAGGCGGCUUACUGGACUGUAACUGACGUUGAGGCUCGAAAGCGUGGGGAGCAAACAGGAUUAGAUACCCCUGUAGUC